UGGGGAAUAUUGCACAAUGGGCGAAAGCCUGAUGCAGCAACGCCGCGUGAGUGAUGAAGGCCUUCGGGUUGUAAAGCUCUGUCUUCUGGGACGAUAAUGACGGUACCAGAGGAGGAAGCCACGGCUAACUACGUGCCAGCAGCCGCGGUAAUACGUAGGUGGCAAGCGUUGUCCGGAUUUACUGGGCGUAAAGGAUGCGUAGGCGGAUACUUAAGUCAGAUGUGAAAAUCCCGGGCUUAACUUGGGAACUGCAUUUGAAACUGGGUAACUAGAGAGCGGGAUGGGAAAGUGGAAUUCCUAGUGUAGCGGUGAAAUGCGUAUAGAUUAGGAAGAACACCAGUGGCGAAGGCGACUUUCUGGACC
rnacentral:rRNA from 1 species